rnacentral:rRNA from 1 species
UACGGAAGGCAGCAGUGGGGAAUAUUGCACAAUGGGCGCAAGCCUGAUGCAGCCAUGCCGCGUGUAUGAAGAAGGCCUUCGGGUUGUAAAGUACUUUCAGUCGUGAGGAAGGUGUUAAGGUUAAUAACCUUAGCAAUUGACGUUAGCGACAGAAGAAGCACCGGCUAACUCCGUGCCAGCAGCCGCGGUAAUACGGAGGGUGCGAGCGUUAAUCGGAAUUACUGGGCGUAAAGGGCACGCAGGCGGUUAAUUAAGUUGGAUGUGAAAUCCCCGGGCUUAACCUGGGAAUGGCAUUCAAGACUGGUUAGCUAGAGUCUUGUAGAGGGGGUAGAAUUCCAUGUGUAGCGGUGAAAUGCGUAGAGAUGUGGAGGAAUACCGGUGGCGAAGGCGGCCCCUGGACAAAGACUGACGCUCAUGUGCGAAAGCGUGGGGAGCAAAAC